GGGGGUGUUCCGGAUUCGACCCUGAUACUAGAGGUUAUAGUUGCAUGUAGGAGAUGAUACUUGGCUCCUUAAAAAUGUAUCACAAAAAUCAAAUGGCAACUCAAAUAACGUUGUAGAAUUCCCUGGUGCAAGCCAAGAAUUCGCUAUGGCUGCUUAGUCGGUCACGUCUAUAAUCGCAGAUACUCGCUAAGCGGUUAAGGCGUCUAAAAAGCGAGUAAAACCUCCCACUUUUUGUGAAUUUUUCAGAGGCUAAUCAGAAAAAUUCAAUCGAAAAUGAAGGUGUUCCUUCUUAAUUAUUUUUUAAAUUGAAUAAGUGAACUAAACAUGUAGAGGCUGUAGUUAAAAGAUCGGGACACGCGGGUUCAACUCCCGCCACCUCCACCA
rnacentral:tmRNA from 1 species